GACGAACGCUGGCGGCGUGCUUAACACAUGCAAGUCGAACGGAAAGGCCCUGCUUUUGUGGGGUGCUCGAGUGGCGAACGGGUGAGUAACACGUGAGUAACCUGCCCUUGACUUUGGGAUAACUUCAGGAAACUGGGGCUAAUACCGGAUAGGAGCUCCUGUUGUAUGGUGGGGGUUGGAAAGUUUGGGCGGGGGGGGUUGGACUCGCGGCUUAUCAGUUUGUUGGUGGGGUAGUGGCUUACCAAGGCUUUGACGGGUAGCCGGCCUGAGAGGGUGCCCGGCCACAUUGGGACUGAGAUACGGCCCAGACUCGUACCUUAUUCACCAGUCCCAAAUAUUUCACAAUUACCGUAAGCCUGAUACACCAACACCGCGUGCGGGAUGACGGCCUUCGGGUUGUAAACCUCUUUCACCUAUUACCAAUCUUUAGUAACCUUCAUCCAUAAAUAACCACCGGCUAACUACUUG
rnacentral:rRNA from 1 species